GCACGCAAACUUAACCACUACGCCAUCAGGCAGCCCCCACAUCACAGCAUUUUGCACAAGUUUGGAAGGUGGUAACCUGUGUCCCCCAAAAUGAGUGAUCCAGAGGAGCCCAAGUCAAACUGAACUAAGCAUCCAUCCUCAGUUAAUAAGAUGACAGUUCACUCUGCAGGACCCACGUGCUGCCCUGAGCAUCCAUGCAUGUGUUCCUGGUCGCUCCUUUUCCAUGCCCUGUGACUCUUCUCUCAAGUCCCUCUACUACCCUGCCUUCCUCUCUUUGAGAAGUUGACUGGAGACAGAAAAUAGAGUCCUUCAUCUUAUUCAAAUAGAAGAAUGCAAGACACUUUCUGGAUGGACUGGAAUAUCUCGGAAAGAGGCACCAGUUAUCAGUUACUAAUUGCUUGGGUCCCAGGUUUGACUGGCCAUCAAACCAAGUGGAAAGAAGAAGAAAACAGAUAAUCUCCCUGAGCCAGUUUCAACUUCCACACAAAUUCUGAUGCACAUUAAAUCUGAAAUCUCCAG
rnacentral:lncRNA from 1 species